rnacentral:rRNA from 1 species
GCGCGCAAUUACCCAAUCCUGACUCAGGGAGGUAGUGACAAGAAAUAACAAUAAACCGGCUUAUGCCGGUUUAAUUGGAAUGAGUACAAUUUAAACAUCUUAACGAGGAACAAUUGGAGGGCAAGUCUGGUGCCAGCAGCCGCGGUAAUUCCAGCUCCAAUAGCGUAUACUAAAGUUGUUGCAGUUAAAAAGCUCGUAGUUGGAUUUCUGUGGGGACGGAGCGGCCGGCCGCACAUCGCGGUUCGAGCUAGCGCUUUCCCUACAUCCUGCCGCGAACCGUGCUACCAUUAGUUUGGUGGCGCUGGGGAUCGGCUCGAUUACUUUGAGAAAAAUAGAGUGUUCAAAGCAGGCCACAUGCCUUGAAUAAGUUAGCAUGGAAUAAUAACUAAGGACUUCGGUUCUAUUUUGUUGGUGUUCGGGACUGAAGUAAUGAUUGAUAGGGACAGUUGGGGCGGUCUGUAUUCCAAAGCGAGAGGUGAAAUUCUUAGACCUUCGGAAGACAAACAGCUGCGAAAGCGUUCCGCAAGGAUGUUCCCUUUGAUCAAGAACGAAAGUUGGGGGAUCGAAGACGAUCAGAUACCGUUGUAGUCUCAACUAUAAACUAUACCAGCUAGGGAUCGGCCAACGUUAUUUUAUACCGACUUGGUCGGCACCUUAUGAGAAAUCAAAGCAUCUGGGUUCCGGGGGGAGUAUGGUCGCAAGGCUGAAACUUAAAGGAAUUGACGGAAGGGCACCACCAGCCGUGGAGCCUGUGGCUUAAUUUGACUCAACACGGGAAAACUUACCAGGUCCAGACAUAGUAAGGAUUGACAGAUUGAUAGCUCUUUCUUGAUUCUGUGGGUGGUGGUGCAUGGCCGUUCUUAGUUGGUGGAGUGAUUUGUCUGGUUAAUUCCGUUAACGAACGAGACCCCAGCCUGCUAAAUAGCGCGCGUGAGCUUUGCUCGCGGCGAGCUUCUUAGAGGGACUCUGAUGCGCGAUAGCACAUGGAAGUUUGGGGCAAUAACAGGUCUGUGAUGCCCUUAGAUGUUCUGGGCCGCACACGGGCUACACUGGCGCCUGCAACGAGCAUAUCAGCUGGCCCGAGAGGGUCUUGGCUAAUCUUUUGAACCAGCGCCAUGCUUGGGAUUGACCUUUGCAAUUGUUGGUCAUGCAACGAGGAAUGCCUUGUAAACGCGAGUCAUCAGCUCGCAUUGAAUACGUCCCUGCCCUUUGUACACACCGCCCGUCGCUCCUACCGAUGAAUGUUCCGAUGAAAUUUUCGGAGAGCACCUGUGAACUUGGCUCUGCCUUGCGAACGGGAGGCUCAAAGUCACUAAAAUCUAAACAUUAA